CAGCCACUGCCGAUGAGAGGACUGUGGAGGCUGCCCUGGCAUGGAGAUAUUCAUACCUUUCUAUUUGGCAAGAGUAUCCCCAAAACAAAGAUUGAAAAUGAUGGUCUUGUUCUUAAAGGAGAGCUGACUGUGGCCAUGCUGAGCACUUCUCAGGAUGAGACCUGCACAGAUCACCUCACAUUAGAAUUCCAUGUCUGACAGCAGCUUUGGAAAGGCAAUGGCAAAUCAGUCUCUUCUGAGGAGGAUAAACAACUGGCAACAAAUGUAGGCAGGAAAGGGUAGCUGUUCAGAGCAUCCUGCAGCAGGCUUCACCCUUGGUUUCUGCUUGCUUUCUGCCUCUUGAAGAAUAAAUGAAAAUGUACCUAGAGAAAUGAGGUUCCUAGAAAGAAGUUCAAAUUCCAGAUGGCUGAUACCACCCAGGCACCAGCUGUUGAGGAGGGCCACACAUGUCCAGGGUGUGUGUACAGUCCUUGGUAUGAGAAUCGCCCUCCUGAUUACCAUCGGAGAACGUAGCACGUACCAAUAUAAGUAUUGUUUUGUUAGAAGUGAAACCUUUACCAAGCAAUACCAAGGAGCAAUCAAAGGUCACCUGGGCACUGGAUACGUUUUCCUUGAAGGCUGAAGCUCACAACUCAACAAGAGAAUCCACAGUGAUCUCUAAGAGGGGCCUUAUGCAUGCGUGCACAUUGCCAGGUGAUGGGAUCAAACAUAUAUCAGUGAUACAGAUUUCCUGAGGAGGGAAGCGGGCAGCUGGGCGAAGACAUUGCAUGUUCCUCAGCACUGCAGCUCUCUGCCAAGGAAUGGAGAAAGUUGUUGGCUGAAGAUGCAGGC
ensembl:lncRNA